rnacentral:rRNA from 1 species
AAUGAACGCUGGCGGUAUGCCUAACACAUGCAAGUCGAACGACAGCACAGUAAGUGCUUGCUCAUACGUGUGUCGAGUGUCGGACGGUUGAGGUAGACAUCGGAUUCUACUUUUUCGGGGGGGAUAACGUAGGGAAACUUACUCUAAUACCGCAUACGACCUCCGUGGGUAAGCAGGGGAUCGUUUUACCUUUCGCUAUGGAAUAAGCCUAUGUCGGAUUCGCUAGUUGGCUGGUUAAAGGCCCAGCAAAGCGACGAUGCGUAGAUGGUCUGAGAGGAUGAUCAGACACCCUGGAACUGAGAAACGGUCCAGACUCCUACGGGAGGCAGCAGUGGGGAAUCUUGGACAAUGGGGGAAAGCCUGAUACAGCCAUACCGCGUGAGUGAAGAAGGAGUUCGGGUGGUAAAGCCAUUUUGUUGGGAAAGAAAAGCAGCAGGUUAAUACCCCGCUGUUAUGACGGUACCCAAAGAAUAAGCACCGGCUAACUUCGUG